GACGAACGCUGGCGGCGUGCUUAACACAUGCAAGUCGAGCGAGGCCCCUCCUUCGGGAGGGUGUCCUGGCGGCGAACGGGUGAGUAACACGUGGGCAACCUGCCCUCAGCUCUGGGAUAACUCCGGGAAACCGGGGCUAAUACCGGAUACGACCUCCACGGGCAUCUGCGGAGGUGGAAAGUUUUUCGGCUGAGGAUGGGCCUGCGGCCUAUCAGCUAGUUGGUGGGGUAGUGGCCCACCAAGGCGACGACGGGUAGCCGGCCUGGGAGGGCGACCGGCCACACUGGGACUGAGGCACGGCCCAGACUCCUACGGGAGGCAGCAGUGGGGAAUAUUGCGCAAUGGGCGAAAGCCUGACGCAGCGACGCCGCGUGAGGGACGAAGGCCUUCGGGUUGUAAACCUCUUUCAGCAGGGAUGAAGCGAAAGUGACGGUACCUGCAGAAGAAGCACCGGCCAACUACGUG
rnacentral:rRNA from 1 species